AGCAGCCGCGGUAAUUCCAGCUCCAAUAGCGUAUAUUAAAGUUGUUGCAGUUAAAAAGCUCGUAGUUGAAUUUCGAGACCGGUUUACUGGUCGUGCUUUUGUACGUACUGGUAUUAUUGGUUUCUCCUUUCUGACGAAUCAUAAUGCCAUUAAUUUGGUGUUUUGGGGAAUCAGGACUGUUACUUUGAAAAAUUAGAGUGUUUAAAGCAGGCUCACGCUUGAAUACAUUAGCAUGGAAUAACGAAAUAGGACGUUUGAUUUUAUUUUGUUGGUUUCUAGGAUCGACGUAAUGAUUAAUAGGGAUAGUUGGGGGCAUUAGUAUUCAAUUGUCAGAGGUGAAAUUCUUGGAUUUAUUGAAGACUAACUACUGCGAAAGCAUUUGCCAAGGAUGUUUUCAUUAAUCAAGAACGAAAGUUAGGGAUCGAAGACGAUCAGAUACCGUCGUAGUCUUAACCAUAAACUAUGCCGACUAGGGAUCGGAUGAUGUUAAUUUUUUAAUGACUCAUUCGGCGCCUUACGG
rnacentral:rRNA from 1 species